UAAUACGGAGGGUGCAAGCGUUAAUCGGAAUUACUGGGCGUAAAGCGCACGCAGGCGGUUGGAUAAGUUAGAUGUGAAAGCCCCGGGCUCAACCUGGGAAUUGCAUUUAAAACUGUCCGGCUAGAGUCUUGUAGAGGGGGGUAGAAUUCCAGGUGUAGCGGUGAAAUGCGUAGAGAUCUGGAGGAAUACCGGUGGCGAAGGCGGCCCCCUGGACAAAGACUGACGCUCAGGUGCGAAAGCGUGGGGAGCAAACAGGAUUAGAUACCCUGGUAGUCCACGCCGUAAACGAUGUCGAUUUGGAGGCUGUGUCCUUGAGACGUGGCUUCCGGAGCUAACGCGUUAAAUCGACCGCCUGGGGAGUACGGCCGCAAGGUUA
rnacentral:rRNA from 1 species